rnacentral:pre_miRNA from 1 species
GUAGUACUCCCUCCGUUCUGAAUUACUUGUCGCAGAUAUGGAUGUAUCUAGAUGUAUUUUAGUUUUAGAUACAUCCAUUUCUGCGACGAGUAAUUUGGAACGGAGGGAGUUCCUU